rnacentral:lncRNA from 1 species
GAUAUGCAAUGAACAUUCCCUCGUUCAACUAUAACCGCAGCGAAAUCCUAGAGCAAAGAUAGCAAGCUGCAAAUUGGGUUGACAAUCUACCAAAAGAGAAGUGGGCUUAAGUGUAUGAUGAAGGUCGAAUAUGGGGCAACAUCACAUAAAACCUUGUUGAGUCAAUGAACAAUAUAUAUAAGGGUAUUCACAACAUGCCAAUCUCAGGUAUGGUCAAAGCAACCUACUAUAGGACAGCGGCACUGAGGCAGGAGCAACAAUAGGUUCUAGUGCGCAAUUUGCAUAAAAGUACAUGGAUAUGAUUAAGGAAGAGGUGACUAAGUCAACCACUCACCAAGUCACCCAUUUUGAUCGAAUGGGGUAUAUCUUCUCUGUUCGUGA